rnacentral:rRNA from 1 species
AAGACCUUGCGCUUUUGGAGCGGCCGAUGCCUGAUUAGCUUGUUGGUAAGGUAAAAGCUUACCAAGGCUUCGAUCAGUAGCUGGUCUGAGAGGACGACCAGCCACACUGGGACUGAGACACGGCCCAGACUCCUAUGGGAGGCAGCAGUGGGGAAUUUUGGACAAUGGGCGCAAGCCUGAUCCAGCCAUGCCGCGUGAGUGAAGAAGGCCUUCGGGUUGUAAAGCUCUUUCAGUCGGGAAGAAAAGAUUGCGACUAAUAAUCGUGAUCAAUGACGGUACCGAAAGAAGAAGCACCGGCUAACUACGUGCCAGCAGCCGCGGUAAUACGUAGGGUGCGAGCGUUAAUCGGAAUUACUGGGCGUAAAGGGUGCGCAGGCGGUUUUGUAAGUCAGAUGUGAAAUCCCCGGGCUUAACCUGGGAACU